rnacentral:rRNA from 1 species
UGGACGCUGGCGGCAGGCUUAACACAUGCAAGUCGAACGCCCCGCAAGGGGAGUGGCAGACGGGUGAGUAACGCGUGGGAAUCUACCGUGCCCUGCGGAAUAGCUCCGGGAAACUGGAAUUAAUACCGCAUACGCCUACGGGGAAGAUUAUCGGGUAUGAUGAGCCCGCGUUGGAUUAGCUAGUUGGUGGGUAAAGGCCUACCAAGGCGACGAUCCAUAGCUGGUCUGAGAGGAUGAUCAGCCACAUUGGGACUGAGACACGGCCCAAACUCCUACGGGAGGCAGCAGUGGGGAAUAUUGGACAAUGGGCGCAAGCCUGAUCCAGCCAUGCCGCGUGGGUGAUGAAGGCCUUAGGGUUGUAAAGCUUU